CCCUUAGAUGUCCUGGGCUGCACGCGCGCUACACUGAUGUGUCCAGUAAGCACCUAACCUCUUCCGAAAGGAACGGGUAACCUUUGCAAAGCACAUCGUGAUGGGGAUAGAUUAUUGCAAUUAUUAGUCUUGAACGAGGAAUUCCUAGUAAGCACAAGUCAUCAGCUUGUGUUGAUUACGUCCCUGCCCUUUGUACACACCGCCCGUCGCUCCUACCGAUUGAACGUUCCGGUGAGACCUUGGGAUUUGGUCUUUGGUACUUUAUUGUGCCGUUGACCGAAAAACUUGAGCAAACCUUAACGUUUAGAGGAAGGUGAAGUCGUAACA
rnacentral:rRNA from 1 species